CGUGUAGGCUGCUUGGAAAGUCGGAUGUGAAAGCCCUGGGCUCAACCUAGGAAGUGCAUUCGAAACUUCCAAGCUCGAGUUUCGGAGAGGAAGGCGGAAUUCUCGGUGUAGAGGUGAAAUUCGUAGAUAUCGAGAGGAACAUCGGUGGCGAAGGCGGCCUUCUGGACGAUGACUGACGCUGAGACGCGAAAGCGUGGGGAGCAAACAG
rnacentral:rRNA from 1 species